CUGAUAGUGGCUGGUGCUGAUAGUGUUUACAGAUGUGUUCACGAGAUCCUCUAAGUGCUUACUUCUGCCUGACAACUAGCUCUAUUUUAUCACCAUGCAGAUAGCAGGCAUAACGUGGAAUGCCAGGAGGAACGGUUUCACAGUGGAUCUGCUGGGAAGCAGUGCAUUGUUUCUCGAACCGGGCAACCUCUCAGUGGGGGAGAAGACAAGGUCGACAUAGGAUGCUCCAUUUUAGUUGACAACUCCCGGUGGGUCACUGUUCUGUCCCAAAAAGAGGACAUUAUGUUCCUGAAGGAAGGAAUAGUUGCUAUUUGGGGCUCAGCGGUCCUGAAAAAUAGGACUGUAACAGGAACACUUUCCAACACGGCUAAGGCAAAGGGGCAAACACAUGUCGCUCCGGCGCUCACGCCAAAGAAGUUGGAUGCACUGAAAAGUGCCUACCUACAACGCUUGAAAGCCAGGGGCGAGACUGCAGAGGCCAUCGGCAAAAAAAAUGUCCGAAGUUCGAGCGACUUUAAAUGACAAAUUAUAGUCUCUCAAGAAGCCCUA